GCUCUGGUGGUCUAGUAGAAUGAUACGUGCUUUGGGUUUCUUCCUCGAAUGCACGGGGGUCCCGGGUUCAAAUCCCGGCCAGGGUC